CCUACGGGUGGCUGCAGUGGGGAAUUUUGGACAAUGGGGGAAACCCUGAUCCAGCAAUGCCGCGUGUGUGAAGAAGGCCUUCGGGUUGUAAAGCACUUUUGGCGGGAACGAAACGGCGCUGGUUAAUACCUGGCGCUAAUGACGGUACCCGCAGAAUAAGCACCGGCUAACUACGUGCCAGCAGCCGCGGUAAUACGUAGGGUGCAAGCGUUAAUCGGAAUUACUGGGCGUAAAGCGUGCGCAGGCGGUUUUGUAAGACGGAUGUGAAAUCCCCGGGCUCAACCUGGGAACUGCAUUCGUGACUGCAAGGCUAGAGUAUGUCAGAGGGAGGUGGAAUUCCGCGUGUAGCAGUGAAAUGCGUAGAGAUGCGGAGGAACACCGAUGGCGAAGGCAGCCUCCUGGGAUAAUACUGACGCUCAUGCACGAAAGCGUGGGGAGCAAACAGGAUUAGAUACCCCGGUAGUC
rnacentral:rRNA from 1 species